rnacentral:misc_RNA from 1 species
ACACCUCAACUCUUGUGGUUUGCCAUGAAGAGCUUGGACUCUGGGGGCUUGCUGGCCAUCUGGUUGGCUCCCCUCAAAUGAAUCAGCUUGCCAGUGUUUGGUGGCAUCACAGGUGUGAUAACUAUCUACGCUUGUGGUUGCCUGCCAGGUAACCUUUGUCGCCGAGGGUUCGCUGGAGCUUACAAACGUCUCUCCUUAGCGAAGACAGCUUUUGAAU